AACGAACGCUGGCGGCGUGGAUAAGACAUGCAAGUCGAACGCUGAUUCAAGGGUAGCAAUAUUCUUGAGUUGGAGUGGCGAAAGGGUGCGUAACACGUGGGCAAUCUGCCGUGAAGUUGGGGAUAACUCGCUGAAAGGCGAGCUAAUACCGGAUACGACUUUUGGAAGGCAUCUUCCGAAAUUCAAAGUUGGGGACCGUAAGGCCUGACGCUUCAUUGAUGAGCCCGCGGCCUAUCAGCUAGUUGGUGAGGUAACGGCUCACCAAGGCUAAGACGGGUAGCUGGUCUGAGAGGACGACCAGCCACACUGGGAACGUGAGACACGGGUCCAGACACCUACGGGUGGCAGCAGUCGAGAAUUUUUCUCAAUGGGCGAAAGCCU
rnacentral:rRNA from 1 species